CCUACGGGCGGCAGCAGUGAGGAAUAUUGGUCAAUGGACGAGAGUCUGAACCAGCCAAGCAGCGUGAAGGAUGACUGCCCUAUGGGUUGUAAACUUCUUUUAUAUGGGAAUAAAAUGUUUCACGUGUGGGAUUUUGUAUGUACCAUAUGAAUAAGGAUCGGCUAACUCCGUGCCAGCAGCCGCGGUAAUACGGAGGAUCCGAGCGUUAUCCGGAUUUAUUGGGUUUAAAGGGAGCGUAGGUGGUUUGUUAAGUCAGUUGUGAAAGUUUGCGGCUCAACCGUAAAAUUGCAGUUGAAACUGGCAGUCUUGAGUACAGUAGAGGUGGGCGGAAUUCGUGGUGUAGCGGUGAAAUGCUUAGAUAUCACGAAGAACUCCGAUUGCGAAGGCAGCUCACUGGACUGCAACUGACACUGAGGCUCGAAAGUGUGGGUAGCAAACAGGAUUAGAUACCCCGGUAGUC
rnacentral:rRNA from 1 species